GGGAGUUGCUGUUUGAAGAAGAAAGAAGAACAAAUUUGGAAACAAACUUCCAUUGUAUUCCCACACCCCUCUUCCUCUUUCCGACUCAAACUUGUUGAAACAGUAAAUUCCCGACCUCAGCCUUUUUCAAAUAGCAAAACCACCCUAGCGUCAUGACUGUCAUCAAGGAAAAGGAGAGGGAAGGAAACGGGGCGAGAGGAUGAGAAAGGGAAGAGAAAGGAAGGACCCUACCAGAAAAUCAAUGCUCCUGGUCGAGUCAAGUAAUGCUUUCUAAGAUGAUUAUUUCCACUGGGGCAUGCAAAUGGGAACAUUCAUAUUAAGUGAAUUAAGCCAGUCUCAGAAAGAUAACUCUCAUAUGUUUCACUCCUAGGCUUCAUAUAGAUAUGUCGAAUUGUGUGUGUAUGAUACAACAGUAGAAGAGAAGCUGUCUAGAGAAGCAGAGAGGACCAGCCGGAUGGAGGGGGAGUGAGAAAUGGGACCCUCGAUACAGACAUCUGUGAAUGUGUCUCUAUGAAAUGGUGUCCCGUCUGGUAUACACUAACUCAUCUCUAGUACCGCCAACUGGGGACCAAGAAUUCCAGUGCCUGAGCCUAUGGGGAAACACUGCUCAUGGAAACCACUGUGCUCUACUUCCUAUUGCCUGCUGCCAUGAUCCAGGAAGCACAUACUGAGAUGGGUAUUUCCAUUUCUGUGACUGAAAUGGCACAGAUUCCUGCCUACCCAAGAGGUAUAUGUAGGGUGAGUGAAGAACAAGACUUCGUUAUUUUAAGCCAUUGAGAUUUAGGGGGUCUGUUUUAUUCUCGUUGAGAAUUAAUAAUGUUUUCAAUUUUUUAAAUUAAGGUUUGAUUCUAAUGUUUGUAGAAAAGAACUUUGGAAUGCUCCAGCCUCACUUGUGGGAGAAAGGCUGAUAAAUGUUAGCCCUGCUACACAUUCCUUGUGCAUCUAUCCUGCCCAGUCAUACCUUUCUUGAGGCCACGUGUGUGGCCAUGCUCAUGCCCAUGCCAGGGCUUCUCCUUCAUUAACUGGUAUAAGCCAGAGGAGAUCCCGAGUCUCUCCUCAUUCCCCCUCCCUUUGUCCUGCUGUCUGUAUUUCAGUGUGUUGGCUUCAUUGCAGCCUGUGUAUAUGAGAGGAUUGCCUUUGGCCGAAAGCAUCAGGCCCUUAGGUAACUGGGACUAAAAAAAAGGGGAGCUGGGUUUCUUCCUAGCAUUGAAACAGUGUUGACACACUGAGUCCACCACCGAUGGGGAUAGUCUGCCUUCUCAUUGUCCUGCUGUGCUCAUCAACAUUGCCUUCUGCACCAUGGGCUGAGUGCCGGAUCCAUCUUCAUCUUACACAUGUGUAUGGGGGGGGGGGCAGCAGAAAGCGUAACAGAGAAAGAAACGCCUUUUAUCAAAACUCUCAGGAGCUGCGCUUACACUUCUGCUUCCACUCCAUCAAAGGAAACUCAAUAACACGGACUUCCUAUUUCUGAUGAAGAGGAAACUGAUGUUGCAAUACAACCAGCUGUGGUUGGCAGAACAAUUAUCUCCAAAGGUGUGCAUCCUAAAUUCCAGGACAUUCAUGUGGAAAACAAGGGCUCUGCAGGUGUGGUUCAGAUAAGGAUCUGAGAAUUAUUAUGGGGAAUUAUUCUGGAUUAUGCAGGUGAGUCCAAUCUAAUAGGACAAAUUCUUAGAGGCUGGGGAUGUAGGUCAAUAAUAGCAUAUUUGCCUAGCAUGCCCAGGGCUAUUCAGUGGUUCUCAACCUUCCUAAUGUUCACGUUGUGGUGGCCCCCAGGCAUAAAAUUACCUCAUUACUUGUUUAACAACUCUAAUUUUGCUACUGUGGUGAAUCAUAAUGUGAAUAUUUGAUAUGU